UUUGGAAAAGGCUCCCCGCCUGUCCUCUCUCCAAAGCUGCUACCUGGGGCCCGAGGGGGGUCUGCGGCGGCCCCUGCGGUGGCAGCAGUGCGUCCCCUCGGCCCGUGCCUGUCCAGGCUGCCGGCUGUGCGGGCACUGGGGCGUCAGGCCGGGCACCACCACCCCCUCCAGCACCGCUGCUCCCCGUCCCCAUCACCCAACUCGUCACAGAUGCUUCAAAGAAUCUGGGGUCACCCCAAGCACUUCCUCGGAACUGAAAUGAGAAAUGGGCCCAUGUGACUGACGAGGGGAAAUGUUUCGACUCUGAAGUUAAAAAGGGAAGAGCUCGCCUGCUGAGCUGUCCACCUGCUGGCUCUCAGCCUGUGGGGCGCGUCCUGGCUGAGGGUCCUUUCUGGCCUGGCCUCAGCCCCCCUCUCCCUGCUGGGGCCAAGCUGGGGGCCCCCCACCCACAGCCUGAGGGCCAUGUCAGCCAGGAGUACGUGUGGGGGCCAGGAGCCAGCUGAGCGGGUCCCCGGGUGGCGAGGAGGUCCUGGGGUGUGAGGUCGUCAGACGGGAGAGGUCAGCAGGGCCCACUGCUCUGGGUGAUGCCUCACCUGUGAGCAUGGCCGCCGCUGCGGGGGUGCCCACCUCUGCCCGCAGGGCCUGGCCUGGAGCUUCGCCUGCGGCUGAGUGACAGGAGGCCUGGCUCACGCUCUGCCCACCUCCGGGCAGUGGCGGUCUGCACGCCACGCAGGACGGAAGUGAAAUCUCUUCGCGAGCCGGGGCGCCCAGUGGCUGCUCGUUAUUUUAGAAGAGGGUUGGGGACGUCUGGCCAGUGGGAGCCGCAAGCGCGGCUCUUCACUCAGUUCCUGCCCCCGCGCCUCCAGGGCAGUGGGAAGCCACUGUCCUCUCUGCCCCACUGUCCCCUCUGCCCCACUGUCCCCUCUGCCCCGGCCACGGGCGGGCGCAGCAGAGAGAGGAGGAUGCAAGGCCUCUGGCUCGUCCUGCCUCUCGGGCCUCCUCUGCAGUUUGCUAGUUUGAUUCAUCCAGACAGUUACUGGCAGUUCACUCUGCGUCAGAGACAAAAAGGGAAGUCAGGGAGGCGGGGCCGAGGGACUCCGCAGGGGAGACAUGGGGCGGCCUGUCUAGCGUGUGGGUCCAGGGAUUAGGGCGCUUUGACCUAAGUUUUCUCACUGAGCCGGGUCCCAGGAGCUCACCCUGCCCUGCCCCGCGAGCUGGAACGGGUCUGACUCUGAUGGAAGUGGCUUUUCCCUCGUGGCCUGAAGGGUGUCAAACAGCCCGCGGCCUCCUAAGCUCUGAGCCUCUACUGGUCAGGUUACCUGGGCCAGAUAUUUUUUAAUCAGUAAAAAUGAGUUUUAAAAUCUAACAUGUUAAGCUUGGCCCUCCCUUCUCCUGGUCCCCCUGAAUUGCCUGGGCUCACGUUCUAACAGGACGGGGUGGGGGGGAUGGGGACAGGGUCCCACUCAGAUCCGCCGAGUUCUGACCCAGCAGCUGGGCAUGUGCGGGAGCGUCGAACCCAAUACUGAGGUUUUUUUUUAUCUGACCGAUGAUUCUGUAAAGGUAAUUGGGGGGCGGGGUGGGCGCUGUGAGGGCUGGGUGUGUGUGUGAGCGUGUUUUUACGGUGGCUGUCUAAAGUAUUUUUACAACAUGUUUAAUAAUCAGUGCUUUAAAAGCAGUGGUUUCCUACAAAGUGGAAACUAAGGUCUAAGCCUGGGAGUGAUGUCUGGUCUGGGGGCCGGGGCAGCGGGAGCCCGGCCUGCCUUCCCAUUUCGACGGGAUACAGUACUUUUUUAAAAGGAGCCAUACUUUUUUUUAAAGUUUGAGAAAUGAAUGUGAUUUCUAAUUGUCUCAGACAUUAAUGUUUUAAAGCUAUAACAAAGUUUAAAAUUUCUACAUUUCGUUUUUCAUUUAUUGUAACUGUUCUUUUAUCUAUUAAAUUGUAUGUUGAUGGGCAAGU